rnacentral:rRNA from 1 species
AACGAACGCUGGCGGCAUGCCUAACACAUGCAAGUCGAACGAGACCUUCGGGUUUAGUGGCGCACGGGUGCGUAAGGCGUGGGAACCUGCCCUUAGGUUCGGAAUACCUCCCUGAAAGGGGUGCUCAUACCGGAUAAUGUCUUCGGACCAAAGAUCUACUGCCUUUGGAUGGGCCCGCGUUGGUUUAGCUAGUUGGUAGGGUACAAGCCUACCAAGGCGACGAUGCAUAGCUGGUCGGAGAGGAUGAUCAGCCCCACUGGGACUGCGACACGGCCCAGACUCCGACGGGAGGCAGCAGUGGGGAAUAUUAUGCAAUGGGCGAAAACCUGAUCCAGCAAUGCCGCGGAAGUGAUGAAGGCCUUAGGGUUGUAAAGCUCUUUGACCCGGGAUGAUAAUGACAGUACCGGGAGAAUAAGCUCCGGCUAACUCCGUG